GUUUCAAAAAGAAUAAUAAUUUUUUUUAUUUUAUUUUUAUAAAUCUCUGAAACAUGUUAAAACAAGAAUGGCCAAAAGACUCUUUAAUUGGUCCAGGAUCUUAAUUUAAUAGAAGAACCUGCAUCAUGAUUUUUCAAAAUUGUUUAUUUAUUUGAAUUUUUUACAUUUAUUUUAUUUGUCUAUUUUUACCAUUUAAUUUUGUUAUACUGUGCAUGUGCUCUAUUUUCUAAAAACCUUUGUUAACAUGUACUGCCUUAUUGUGUUGUUUUUAUUGAAUUAAAUCAAUCAAUCAAUCAAUCAAUCAAUGGAUACAUAAAUUGUAGCCGGAGUUCAUUUUUUUGAAGCUGAGAGGCUCCAGAAUACAUGACGUCAUUUCCAGUAAGGGAACAUAGUAAGCAUCGAUACUCCCUGGUUUUUGUUGUGCAUUGUGGGAUUUUUAGGGAGCGAAUGUUCCAGUGCACUGGAAGAAUUUUGCGAUUGAGACACAGCUUAAAAUGGCCGACUCCCUGAUCAGUGUCCUGAACUACUGAACUAGGGAGCUGGUUGAGAAAAAGAGUGAAGAGGAUGAAUUGAAAGCUUCCCGUCGUCAUCAAUAACGUCAUUACAGGAAACCAAUACACGCUUGUUUGCGGAAGUUGAUGUGAAAGAGCGCUUCCUUCUCCGCACGCGCUUCAGAUCUCUGAUACUCUGCGUAACAUCACUAAAGUGUCCUGAUUCUUUACACCUCUUAUAAUGAAAUCAGAGUCCAGACGCCGCUCUUUAGGAAAAUCUCCACAGACUCCUGCUGCUACUGGCUCAAAGAUGUACCACUGCUCAGAUUGUGGGAAGAGUUUUAGUAAAAGUCGUCAUCAUCUUAAAAAUCACGAGCAUGUUCACAUAGGAGAGAAGCCGUAUGAUUGCUCCCAGUGUGGGAAGUUUUACUUGUCAGAGUAAUCUCCGACAACAUGAGCGCAUUCACACAGGUGUAAGGCCGUAUCUCUGUGAACAGUGUGGAAAGGGUUUUAUUUAUCUUCAACAACACCAGCGCAUUCACACAGAAGAGAAGUAUCACUGUGGACAGCGCAGGAAGAGUUUUACUUGUCAGAGUAAUCUCCAACGACACGAGCGCAUUCACACAGGACAGAAGCCGUAUCACUGUGGACAGUGUGGGAAGAGUUUUAGACAAGAGAUUCGUCUUCGGAUAUACCAGCGCAUUCACACAGGACAGAUGCCGUACCUCUGCGGACAAUGUGGGCGGAGCUAUACUCAUUCAAGUUCAUUAAGGACACACAAGUGCUCUGACAUAAAGCCACCAGCUCUUGAUAUGUGAAUUUCUUAAAUUUAGAUACAUCUUUUUAAUUUUCCUCUUUUUUUGCAGGAGGUUAAGGGAAAUUCUGGCAUAAAACCUCUCUUGCAAGGGACUUUAUUGCUUACUCUCCACUUUGUAGUAGAAUUCAUGUAAUUUUCCUGGUUUCACCUGAAUGCUGUACACCAAGAAUGCAAUACAACAAUACAUAUUAAACCAAUCACUAUCCCUA